rnacentral:rRNA from 1 species
UAGGGAAUUUUUCGCAAUGGACGAAAGUCUGACGAAGCAAUACCGCGUGUGGGAUGAAUGUUUUCGGACUGUAAACCACUGUUGUUAGGGAAGAACACCAAGGAUAGGUAAUGAUCUUUGGCUGACGGUACCUAACCAGAAAGCGACGGCUAACUACGUGCCAGCAGCCGCGGUAAUACGUAGGUCGCGAGCGUUAUCCGGAAUUAUUGGGCGUAAAGAGUUCGUAGGUGGUUUGUUAAGUCUUAUGUGAAAGCCCACGGCUCAACCGUGGAACUGCAUAAGAUACUGGCAAACUAGAAUUUAGGAGAGGUAACUGGAAUUCCAUGUGUAGCGGUGGAAUGCGUAGAUAUAUGGAGGAACACCAAUAGCGAAGGCAGGUUACUGGACUAUAAUUGACACUGAGGAACGAAAGCGUGGGUAGCAAACAGGAUUGGAUACCCCAGUAC